rnacentral:rRNA from 1 species
GACGAACGUUGGCGGCGUGCUUAACACAUGCAAGUCGAACGGAAAGGCCUUUUCGGAGGUACUCGAGUGGCGAACGGGUGAGUAACACGUGGGUGAUCUGCCCUGCACUCUGGGAUAAGCCUGGGAAACUGGGUCUAAUACCGGAUAGGACCGCACUUUAGUGUGUGUGGUGGAAAGUUGUUUCGGUGUAGGAUGAGCCCGCGGCCUAUCAGCUUGUUGGUGGGGUAAUGGCCUACCAAGGCGGCGACGGGUAGCCGGACUGAGAGGUUGGUCGGCCACAUUGGGACUGAGAUACGGCCCAGACUCCUACGGGAGGCAGCAGUGGGGAAUAUUGCACAAUGGGCGCAAGCCUGAUGCAGCGACGCCGCGUGGGGGAUGACGGCCUUCGGGUUGUAAACUCCUUUCGCCAGGGACGAAGCGUUUUGGGACGGUACCUGGAGAAGAAGCACCGGCUAACUACGU